UCCUCCUUAACUCAGUGGUAGAGUUCUGUACUUAUGGGCUAUCGUCACAGCUGAAAUGCAGCUGCCGCCAGUUCGAUCCUGGCAGGAGGAA